ACUGGCACUUAUCGAAGCCACUUCAGUUCUUCCUGUAGCUGACGUGGUCAAAAAGGAGCCUAUAGCAACACUUUCUACGACGGUCGCUGCUCCGUUUCUAAGUAACGGAGAAGCAACAUUACGAGGAAGGACAAUU